GACGAACGCUGGCGGCGUGCUUAACACAUGCAAGUCGAACGGAAAGGCCCUGCUUUUGUGGGGUGCUCGAGUGGCGAACGGGUGUGUAACACGUGAGUACCCUGCCCUUGACUUUGGGAUAACUUCAGGAAACUGGGGCUAAUACCGGAUAGGAGCUCCUGCUGCAUGGUGGGGGUUGGAAAGUUUCGGCGGUUGGGGAUGGACUCGCGGCUUAUCCGCUUGUUGGUGGGGUUGUGGCUUACCCAGGCUUUGAAGGGUAGCCGGCCUGAGAGGGUGAACGGGCCACUUGGGAAUGAGAUAAGGGCCAGAACCCUAAGGGGGGCAGGAGUGGGGAAUAUUGGAACAUGGGUCGAAGCCCGAUGGAGGCAAGGCGUGUGGGGGAUGAACGGCUUUCGGUUGGAAACCGGCUUUGGUCAGGGACGAGGUUUGAGUGACGGUAGUGGGUAAAGAAGCACCGGCUAACUACGUG
rnacentral:rRNA from 1 species